rnacentral:lncRNA from 1 species
GGUGGUGCAGUUCUAGGGUCUUCCGGGUGGCCUUUCCCACCACUGUGGGAAUCUCCUGGCCCGUGGGUCAGGAGCCCAGUGUGGGAAUCUUUCAGGAAUGCAGAUGUCUUCCCCGGAAACUGCAUGUGUCUUGCCCCUAGGACUGGCCAGGUGAACAUCGAGGGCCACUGCCCCAACCUCCUGGACUCCACUGUGACUCCAGGAAGGAGCUGUCCUUCUGGCAGGGGAAGGACUCACUAGAAUUUUGGCUUCCUUACCUCAGUUUUAUCCACCAAAUUCCUUUUUCCAUUUGAAGCCUGUUUACAAGGUCCGGGGCCUAUCUCUUGGGCACCAUGUACUCCGCACUUGGGGCCUUCAUGCCACUGUGGUUCUCACAUGGCUGUCCCCCAGCACAGAAGGCUGGCACUGGGUUAUGGAUAUGUGCCCUGUCAAGGGGACAGGUUGGAGGUAGCACCAGCUCCCUGUCCAUGGUCACAAAGCUGGUCAGUGAAGAACUGGCUUGGCCUGGCUGUCUCAGGCCACUGGACAGAGACCAGGCACAGUGUCCUGUCCCAGGGCUCCAGGGGAAGGUGGGGGCACCUUGGGGAGGGAAGCUGGGUGCUUGCACAGGCACAGACACACCCACCCCCUGCGCCAUGCACCUGUGCACACAGGCAUCCAGCACAGAGAAGGUGCCUGGGGCCUCAGAGUGCAGGUGCCACCGAGGCUGGGGUAGCUCACAGGCUCUGGCCUCCUCAGAGGCCCCGGGAGCUGGUGAGCUGCAGUAUGCAGACCUUCGGGGACCCUCCAGGGCACAGGCAGGGGCUGCAGCAAGACCUGGACAGGAUCCUUCCAGAAGCCUCUGAACUUUGGUCUCUAAUUCCUUCCCCUUGAACCCCUGCACCCUAGGAAGGAGGUUUUGUCAGCAUUUCCCACUUUUAGGUGAAGAGGGUGACCUUGGCGAUCCUACCUGAAACUGGAUCCCAGGUUCACCUGGGGUCACAGAAAUCAGGAUGGGGGCAGAGCCAGGGCCAGCGCCAUGUGAGUUAGGGAGAAGUGGACUCAAGGGCGAGAGGGAGCCCUGGGCCAGCUGCCUGGACCACCGAGGGGCUGCCAGAGUUCAGGCCCUGGGAGGCAGUGUGGGUGCUGUGGGGACCAUUCAGAUUCCGGAGCAGGCGGGCAGCGGCUGGCCGGGAGAGAGCUCGAGGCACCCUGGCAGGGGGAGACAGCUGCUCAGGCCACCCUGUCCCUGAGCCUCGCCUGUGUGCACUCAUGCACAGGCAUGUGGACAUGUGGGUGUGGGCCUGCACUGGGCACAGGCAUGUGGCACAUGUGAGCACGUACAAGGGCCAUGUGGACACACAGGAACAAGGCCAGACACGCAGGACACGUGCACACACACAGGCAUGACUGUGCAUCUGCACACCCUCACACAGGCGCACACAGGUACGCACAGAACACAGUCACCCGUGAGCAGCCUCGUCCGCACACACUGGCACACAGGGUUGAAGUCAGUCACUCUUAAUGCUCUGUGGCAGCUAGUAGCCUGGCUUGGUCACCACCCUGUCCUGGGCCCGGUGUCCUGCUGGAGGUCACCUGAAGGCGUAUGGGCCACAGAGAGGGUCCCUGAGGUGGCUGUACCCACCCCACCCCUGUGCCUAGGUGGCUCCCGGACUCCUGGCUGAGGCAGAUUUGUACCUGGUGGGUGCCCAUCCUGGCCAGGCCGGGCGUCUCUGAGAGUAACCAUCCCAGGACCACCCCAAGGCCUCACCGCAGGUUCUGGGCUUCCUGUACAUAUAGCCCAGGUCUUCUGACAGGCACCUGGCUGUUCCGGACAGCUCUCUCUGGACAGUCCCGUGUGGCCUGGUCCCUGCAAGGCCGCUGUCCCCAGAGCUGAUGCAUGGUUGCCCUCAUGGUCCUGGUCCUGCUCUCUGAGCCUCAGUGGUUCCUUCAGGGGGAAGCUGGGGGCUCGGGCUGCCCCCAGGAGCCCAGUGAGGGGUAAGUGUAGAGUGUCUGGGGCUCGGCCGUGCACAGCACUGGCUAGGAUCUCCGCCUUUCUCCCGGAUCCUGCCCCGCCUGCAUCUUCUAGGUGUGGAAAGCCCUCUGGGCAGUACCCAGCACCCCCAGGAAGCUGCUCACAGUGAGAUUCCUGUGCCCAGCUGGGGUCCCAGAGUGGGCAGCUGCCCCCAGAGUUCUCUGGAAAAAAGAUCUGCCCCUCCACCCCGUUAUAUAAUGGGAUUAUGACACAACUUCUGAGGCAUG